rnacentral:lncRNA from 1 species
AAGGCCUUACCCCACUCAUUCUCCCAGCAAACUCACGUCCAAAAAGAGCUGGAGAACCCUCUUUCACUCUUCACUUCACACAUUUUCCUCAUUUUCACCAAGAAGAUCAAACACCUUUUCUCUCCAACUUCCUCCCACAAAUUCGAGAUUCCCAAGGCAUUUUCCAGCUUUUCUCCUUCAUUUUGGUAAGUUCAUCAUUCUCUAUGAUUAUUACACUUCCCUUUGCCUCAAAUCAUUGAUUCCUUACACAAACAUCAUCACAUUCUUGUUAGAUCUUCAAAUCUUCAAGUGAUUCUUCAAGUGUUCUUGAGUUGAACACUUCUCUUCUUCAACACUCAUCUACUGAACCCACUCAAGGUGAGUUCAUACCCCUAUAAUUUCANAUGAGUCUUCUCACUAUACUUUACCUUGAGUAGGUAAUCAGAGUUAUGUGAUACAGUGUUGUAUGCUAUAUAUGUGUUAUGUGUUGCAUUGCAUUAUUCUAUGUGAUUUAUGUUGUGCAUGUUACAGAGUUAGAACCGGAAGGUUCACAGAGAUAGAACCUGAGGGUUCGCAGAGUUUGGGUGCACGGACCCACAGAGUUAUAGCCUCGAGUGGCUGAUAUGUGUUAUAUAUGGUAUUUUGGAGAACUCACUCAGCUUCGUGCUUACAGUGUUAUGUGUUAUGUGUUUUAGGUACUAGCGAGGAUCGCGGGAAGGCGUCGGCCUGAUCAGUACACACACAGGAUUUUUAUGUUACGAGAUCCUGGGAUUGAUAUAUGUUAUAAAUUGAGUUUAAAACAAUGAUGUUUUUAUGAGUAAUGAACGAAUUAUGUUUUUAUAAAAUGCGAAAAAUUGUAUUGAAAUUUGCGGUGUUACAGAACCCGGUUUGAAUGACAAACGUCAUGAGACCACUCUACGAACUCAUUUAUACUCCAUAAUAGGACUGCAUCAUAGGGAUGUAGGUCAAACCUUUGAGAACAUACUUCUACUCUAUAGGUGGACAAUUGAAAUACAUCUAGGUUCAAUAUUGGCCUUGCUAGGAAUUCUAGUUCAUUGAGAGGGACCAAUAAGAAUGUUAUUAAUAUGACUUCCUCACUUAUACAUUCCAUAGUUAUGUAUAACAAAGACCUGGUAGACAAUAGAAUGUGAGAUUUCUAACUUAGUUUCUUUUACUCGUUGGGAUGUGAAACUAAAGUAGAAUCACACAUUUCACUAUCCGCCCAGUCUUCGUUAUAUCAUAAUGUGUAUAAGUUAAGUUUUCAUGUAUAAUGACUCAUCUCCUAGUCAGACUCAAAAUAAUAUAGAGUCAACCUUGGUCACUCACGAACUCCUCGCCGUUCGUAUUGCAGAAUCAUGUCAUCAUCGGGAAAUAGUCAGCCGAUCAACGAAGCCCCUAUCCUUCAUAUCGAUGUCGCCACAUUCCAAGCCACAAUAACAGCUGUCGUAACAACUGUCCUUGCAAACCUCAAUGCUGGCAACGCAAUCACGACUAGCAAAGGAAUUAAAAAUUCUGAUCGACGUAUCGAUCUAGGAAGCCACCAAAGGGCAACAGUCACGGGCGUACAAAGUGGUAAAACCGAGAGGAGGAAAAGAAAUCGCCGAGCUCGAAUGGAGCGCCAACGAUCCCAAAGACUUGCCAUGCCACAACAGCGAGUGGCAAAUCCUGCCCCUUCAGCACCAGCACGACCCAUUCCUCAAGACCCUGGCAAUGGGACCAUCCCUGCACACAAAAGUGGUGGUAAAAUCGGACCCCAUAAAAGGAAAUUUUCAAAGUGGGUGAAUGAGGAAGGCACCCAUGUCCACGUAACUCUGACUAAACACCUCACUUCCACCACCAAUGCUAGUACAAGCCAAAUGUGUCACCAAUGCGGCGAAAUAGGACACCUCAAAAAGGAUUGUCCAAUAAUAAAGAACUCUGGCGCAGACGGGAAGAUACUAAGGAUCACUAUCGUAGGAGAAACUACUCGGGACCCCGUUAAAAAUAUCUAAGGCAUUCGUUGUAACAGACUCAUAAACUGUUCAAAACUAGUGCAACUAGAUUCUUAUCUUUUGCAAGACCCCGUCAGUGAAGGGACCCUCGCACUGCGUAUACUCGCCUUUUGUAGUAUACCUAGUUCACAGCAAUAGUCUUGUAGUAAACCUAUAGUACUGUAACUCUGUUAAAGGUUGCACAUUUUUGUUUUGUCUGUAACGCCUUUGCAAUCAAAUCUAGCGCCUUAUUUCAAGUGACUUCGAUUUUUAUCAUACAACUGGAGUCCAUUCAAUCCUCACAAUACCAGUUUCGUGCGUGAAUCUCUUCCUUCGAAAUCAUCUUUCUUGCGAAACCGUCAUUCCAGAACUCCGAAGUACUCAUGCGUAGAGUACCUCAGGUUUCUUAUCCUUUUCCGAAGAAACCUCAACAAACCUCCCCGAAGUACUACUCGGGUAGUACUUUAAGUUCAAUCCAAAGACCCAUACGGUUAAUCUAUCGCUAAAGAAUGUAUACACAAGGGUGGUAUAUAACUAAGGUUCUACAGGUUUAGAAUUAACGAUUCCCCUGUUACUUCUUUUCCUCGUUGGGGUGUGAGCUUAAAGAAGAAUCAUUUGUUCAAUUACCUUUUCAAUCUUAAUUAUAUAUGACUCCAGUGACUAGAUCGCCCUACAGUCUAACCCCCCUGCCGAGCUGCAAGAACUGUCAGGUCAAACCUGUCGAACUACUCAACAAUGGAAUUGAAGAACCAAGCUCCUCACCAUGAAGAGCUCCGGUCUUGUUCUUCAAAUAGAAAGGCGAAUUGCUCGUAGGUCCAUCGACUUCAGAGGCCCUGACAAUAUCUCCAAUAGAAAUCAUUACUAUCUGCCCCGCAUAGACGAAUAGGCCGACCAACCGCAAGGAACGAGGUAACCUUCAGGAAUUCGACCUGAGAUCCAAAUAUCACCAGUCACGAGUGUUGAAGAAGGAUGUCCGAGGACAAUCCUCCAAAUUCAAUGCGGACGCUACAAGUCCGAAGUGAUACCCCUCGGAUACAACCAACCCGCUCGCAGUCUUCGUGAACUUAAUGUAUAGGGUACGCCAUUCUUACUGGGAUUAGUUCGUCAUUAUCCUUGAAAAUGACUUGCUUAUCUACCCUAGUAGUAAGAAGAAAACCAAAAAGAGCAGCUACAACAAACCGUGGGGACAAUACGAUCAGAGAAGCCUUACCCGAAGUUCUCUAGAUACGAGUUUUGGAAUUGAAGAGUCAAAUUCCUAUGACACACUAUUAUUUAUGUGGAAAUUCUUGAGGACCCCUUUCAAUUAAUCAAAAUCAUUGAGAAAUUGUCAGCACCAAAGGCGUCGACGGGAACACGCCGAAAUUCUGGGUCUCGCUGACCUACCGUCUUAGUUCCUUUAGAACUUCUCGCAAAUUACAGAAUCCCCUUACAACUUUGACCCUGAAGGGAGCAAACCCUUGUCUAGGAAGAGAAGCAAGAGGGAGAAACCUUUAGAACUCCAGAGUAAGAGACCAAAUUCCCCUGGAAGCCUCACUCUGGGAAGGCUUAGUACGCUUCAGAAAGCGUGGAAAGGUAAAACCCCAGAUAAUUAUGCCCUUCGGGAUUCUUGUCAGAAUCAGCCCUGUAACUCGCAACUUCAAUCUACCCCGCAAGCUUGGUAAAGUACAUUCUACCCACCACAUCUUGAACUUGCAGAAGCAUUUAUCCGACGAGACUCUUGAAAUCCACCUCGACGACGAGUUCCACAAGAGCCUUACCUUCAUGGAAGAACUGUAGUGACCACGGACCGAGAGGUCAAGCGGACGAAGCAACGCAGCUUCCCAUUAGUCAAGGUUCGCUGGAAUACUAACCAAGGACCUGGAUUCACUUGGGAGCACGAGAAUCGAUCGAUUAGGAAGUAUCCCCACUUCUUGGCUCGAUUAUUCAUGCCUACUCCUUGUCUAAAUUCAAAUUUCGGGACGAAAUUCCCUCUAACGGGGGGAUGAUGUGACAACCGUCAAUUUUCGGUCAAGUCAAAGUCAACUAAAGUCAACAAGUCAAACCGAUCGACUCAACUAACCCUUGUACUAGGGCUUACGUUAUGUAAUUACUAAACAACUCGCUAUUCUAAUGAGAGAUCAUAAAUCGAAAGAUCAUACAUCUAGAUUUCCUUAACCUAAAACUGUGGAAGGUAACGAACCAAACCGAUAAAACAUUGUUGCAUACUCAUUGGGAGUGUGUAAGAUCCUUAAACAUGACAUAAUGGGGUUUAUGGACCUUGCGUUGCGGAGCCAAACACUCACAAAUGUCACACACGAAACCUCUCUCAAUCGUUUUCACUCUACCUCUCUUUAUCGAGAAUCUCUCCCAAAUCUCUCCAAGAACAACAAAUCUCUCCCAAAUCUCUCUUUGUAUGAGAAAUCUCUCCAAGAAUGCGAAAUCUCUCCCAAAUCUCUCCAAGAAUGUGGAAUCUCUCCUAAAUCUCUCCAAGAAUGUGGAAUCUCUCCCAAAUCUCUCCAAGAAUGUGGAAUGUCUUCCAAAUCUCUCUCCAUAUGAAGAAUCUCUCCAAGAUUGUAAAAUCUCUCCAAAAUCUCUCCCGAAACCUCUCUUGAAAUUUUUAUAAUCAAUUUGGGCAUCCUGAUACUUGGUUUGAUGAGAAAUCACUCAAAGAAGGGAAAAACCAAGGAAAAUAACCCUUAGGACCGAAGCCUCUCUUUGAGGGUCAAGUCCUCUUGGAUCCGAGGCCCUUUUGAGCAACUGCAGUCUUCUUGAGGAUCCGCGGUCACCUAGCCAGCAGCUGCAGCCAGCCAGCCGCAGCCAUCCGAAUCCGCAGCCAAGGAGACCGCAGCCGUCCAGCCGCAGCGAGCCUCGCCUCCUGACCGCAUCAAGACUUCGGACCGCAGCCCUUUUCCUUCAGAUCUGCCUCCGCGACCAAGACCACCCUUCGGAUAUUGACUGCUGAUGACCGAGCCUUAGCGCCUUCGGUCUUGAACUUCGGAUUUCUUCAUUUUUCACCCGGUUUUCGAUCAUUUCUCCGUUUUAAGUCCGUUUUUAAUCAUUUUAACGUGGGAUUUUCUCCAGAAAUCAUAUUUUAACAUAUAAGACCCUAAAUAUUCAUAAUUUGGGCAUAUUUUUAUGGGAAUAUAUAUAAGAAUAAAAUCUUUUAAGAGAGAUCUUGAGGUGGAGUGUGAAUCUUGCCAUAAUAUUUCGCACAAACCACCACCCCAUGCCCAUUCCUUUGACCAAUCCUUGUAAUCCUCUCUACUCCUAGUCACCUCAAGGCCUUACCCUACUCAUUCUCCCAGCAAACACAUGUCCAAAAAGAGCUGGAGAACCCUCUUUCACUCUUUACUUCACACAUUUUCCUCAUUUUCACCAAGAAGAUCAAACACCUUUUCUCUCCAACUUCCUCCCACAAAUUCGAGAUUCCCAAGGCAUUUUCCAGCUUUUCUCCUUCAUUUUGGUAAGUUCAUCAUUCUCUAUGAUUAUUACACUUCCCUUUGUCUCAAAUCAUUGAUUCCUUACACAAACAUCAUCACAUUCUUGUUAGAUCUUCAAAUCUUCAAGUGAUUCUUCAAGUGUUCUUGA